GGAAUCAUCAGUUUCACCUCCCAGGACCCAUUUUUCAGAGCCCAAUCCCAAGCAGGUUAUUCCCAGCAGCUGCAAUGCAUCUGGUCCUGCUAAGGCAGAGUUAACUGAGGGGUUGAGAGACAUUUUAAUUACAGAUUUGUCUAUCCUGCAUGAUUUAUCCCGGGUAACUCCAGCAAUUUAUCCAUCAGCAGUUAGAAGGGCUCUGAAGCAGAAAGCAAGCGCAGGGAGUAUUUAUUGCGGUGACUCAGAAGUCGUCGAAGAGAGAUUUGAAACGAAACAGCGAUGUUGCUUGAAAAAGCACUACCUGGCAUGAAGGAGUUGUCUCCAGCCAGGAAAAUUAAUGAGCACUUUCCAAACUCCAAUUCCCCUUUUCCUGCGUUAGCCAAGUGGGGUUCAUUUCUCCUUGGGAUGCCUGGCGUGGCUACAAGGGAAUUGGGGUGACAUUUCAAUGUCACUUUAUGAUCAGAUGGCAUUUCAAUGUCAUUUUACCAUCAUUACUCAUGAUGGGUGACACCACAUCCCCCCUGGCAAUGCUUUGGGAAGUGGGAUCCCGGCCGGUGCGCUGCAGGCUUAGCGACAGCAUCGUUUUCUCAGGGACUGCUGAAGAGAAGUUGGUGCUGCUUAAUGAGCCUUAGAGAAGCAUGUGGUGUCUCAGGUAAGGAGAUGUUGUUUAAACAGUGCCAGAGGAGGAUUCAAUUCCCCUAUAAACACAGUAUUUAACACUCCAGUGAAAAAGCACCCUGGUAAAUAAACAGAUCCUUUGGAUGAGAGGAAAAGCACUGACAGUGCAGUUCCUCUACAGGCCUGGCAGAGAAAUUACUUUUCUCAUCUCAUGUGGUAAAAUUGUGUAGAAAAAUGAAGAAUUCAUAACAGACCUAUCCCAAAGGGAGGAUGUGAUAUUGCUUCUUACAGCACAGAUCACAGGCUUCCACCAUGGGGCUCAUCCUGCUCAACCAAGGGCUUUCCAAGGAGCAUGGAUGGGGCGCAAGCAAUCAGCAGCCUUCCCUAUCUAGCAGGGGCUCAGUGAAGACCCUGAGCUCCCAAUAGCCCAGGGAAGGACAGCGAAAAGGACAAGGUCCCCGACAUCCUUCAUUCCUGAAGGAAGCCUGCAGAGGACUUAGCAGACAGGAAGGGCUAUUCCUUCAGAGCUGUUAAAUACAGCUCACAGUGAUGGAUGCAGGAGCCAGGAGGUGGUGGAUGGGGGGGUUUUGCUGCCUGUUGAUCUCUUUUGCACCCAAACAAGAAUAAAAGCUGUUCCUCACCCAAUAGAUUCAGGCUUAUAAGGCCAGUGAAUCUGCCAUCCCUGUUUCAUCCCAGAUGCCUGACUUGAUUUCUCACCAUCCCACUCCUGGUGUUUGGACCUGCCAACCUUUGGCUGGAGCUAUUGUGAGGUGUGAGAAACCCACUUCUGAGCAGGGGAACUUGGGGUAUUGUUAGUGUGAGACACAGGGCUCAGGCUGUACAUGGUUCCUGGGGUUUCUUAGAGGAGCUGCACCUCUCCCUUUGGAACAGGAGCAAAGGUGUGUAGGGUACAGGCACCCAUCCAUGUGGUUCCCCAUGGUUCCCCAUCAAGAUGCUUUGCAGGAGGAAGGGUGAAUCAAUGCACGGACCUUCAGUGUCAUGUCCUGCUGAAAGGCUGGGUGAUGGGGCUGUGGGCAGCACGAGCAUCAACUCCCGAUCUCCUGGAUGCCUUCGGCUGCAGGAGCCCCCCUGACGAAACCCAGCUUGAGGCAUAAAAGACAUCAAUCUAGCACAGGGAUGAGCUGGGUUUGGAGACAACCCACUGCUUGCUGAAUUAAUAAAGAGGGUUUGAGCUG
rnacentral:lncRNA from 1 species